AUUUUAUAACAGAAGCUAAAUAAUCAUUUAAAAAAAGGAGGUGCGCUGGCGCGCUAAAGGGAGGAUGGAAGAAUAGCUGAAGUCGAAGUGCAGUUUCAUUGAUAAAUCUUGAAUUGAAGCAAUGGCUUUCAGAUUGUUUCCCAGAGAAAACAUGGGGAAAGAAGGUAUCAGAGAAGGUGAUUUCGCUAUGCAAUUCUCUUCUCAAGAAAGUAAAGCCACAGUCUUGGUCUCAUUUAUCGUUUCCUCUCCUUCUCAAGGUCUCUUUACCCUAAAUUAUUUUCUCUUGUUUCCUUACUGCAAUGGAGCAUUUGCCUUAUGCUCAAAUGCCAAGUGUUGUUGAGGUCUAAUUUCGAUUGUUGUUGCUUCCAUUUCUGUUUGAGAAGUUGUUUCCUUAGGAACGGGGACAAAAUGCAUUGGGCGCUCGCAAUUGAGCACGCAGGGUGACAUUGUUAAUGUUUCACACGCUAAGAUUUUUGCCCGAAGAGCUUUGAUGAGGUUCUUCUAUUCAGAGAUUCAACUCCUCGCCAAUAUUUUAAAUAAGCAUGGAAAUGAUAAUGGAGGCAAACAACUGCAAAGUGAUGAUGUCCGAAACCACCUUUCCUAUUUGGAACAAGAUAGUUCUAGUCAAGGAAAAUUCAAACUGAGAUCAGGUUGGCAAUGAUAUCUGUACAUGUCGCAGCUGCCAUGUAAUUCUUCAUGAUAUUAGUCUGUUUUAUUUAAAAAUAAAUGAAUCCUGUUUGUGUUGAUUAGAUUUUAGUUUAUAUCUUUACAAUGUUUUGUGGCUUUAUUAUCUUUUACUCAGUCUUUGUAGGUGGAGAUGCUUCUGUUAAUUCACCCUUUUUGUCUUUGAGAAACACCUUCCAAAGAGAAGGGGAUUCAUCAUUGCCUCUGGGCAAGCUUGAUGGUUCCAUAAGUGAGCUUUUUGGGGCUUCAGAAGAGAAUAAUUGUACACAAGGAUCUUAAAUGGAUUUCACCUUCUCCUUUCCCAGUUUUCGUCCCUCCUAAAUAAUGUUGUUUCUUCUUUAGCAUAUUCAUUCUGUGGUGAAUACUGGGACUAGCCAGGCAGUUUCUUUUAGCCUUUUCUUUUAAUAUACAUAUUUUCCCUCCUUUUUGUUAGGUCUACUAUUUUUUCUUAUCAUCUGUCACAUGCUAUUUUAGCCAUCUUAUUUGGUCUUAAUAUCAGCAAUCUUUGAAUUUACUUUUAGUGUGUACAUUUUCAGCCAAUGGUUCGCAACACAAUUGCAUGGUUCAGAGAAAGCCUGGUCAUGGUGGCACAACAAUUUCGGUUAGCUGCUCUGACAAAAUCACUCAUUGGAAUGUUCUUGGCGUUCAAGGUUCAUUAUUUACUAUAAAUAUUACUCAAAAUAGGUUUUUCUUUUUUCUAGGAUAAAUAAUUUAUUUCAAUUUGUUCGAAGAUGGGUAAGACACAUGCUUAUUAUAUAUUGGUGUAGUCAUGUUCAUGAAAGGAGACAAUCACGGACUGCUUAGAUUUUAUGUGCAUGGCCCAUCAUCAUGCACAUGGCAUGUGCUGAUCUUUUUGACUUUACAAAAUAUACUAUGGAAAGUUGAUAGGAAAUGCCAUUGGAUUAAUUAACAGGUUUUCCAUUCUCUUAUUUCAGGAGCUUUGCUUUCCUACUUUCUACAACCUGUUUAUCUUUCCUUGAUCACCGUUGGACAAUCAUCCAACAUUUUUGAACGUAUUCCUUUGUAGAACCACCUGCAAAGAUCUUUGUAUGAUCGUAUCUUGCCAUUAUCAAAUAAAUUGAUUGUUCCAUUCAAAGUAAACAAGGUCCAUGAAGUACAUGGUAUCUUAAAUGAAUGGAAAUUUAGCAGGAUUUUUUUUUUUUUUUUUCCGAGGCGCUACUUGCAGCCACUUUUUUUGUGUAGCUUCUGUGCCACCCAAAGAAUUUCAGCAUGCUGAUACUGCUCUAGCCACUUUAACAUGCAGGUAAAUCAAUUUUUGUGUUCUCAUAGAUAAAUUGUUUUAUUACUUAUUACUUGUCACAGAAUUCUUUGUGCUUUAAUCCAUGGGUACUCUGUAUGUUGGAAUAAGUCUGGUUUGCGUGAAGUUGUUCUUGGGACCACAGGGAGAAAACAAGGCACCAUUUCUGCAUCUACUGAGUCAUCUCUGUGCAAGUAAGCUAACAAAAGGGGAUUAUACCAACAUAAAAGCCCUACCAAAAUGAUUUGUUAUCAAGAACUCAAGAAUGGUGUUGAGGCAUACAGUUUAACUUUAAAAACUUAUAAAGGAAGAACACCUUUUAACAAUUGGCCAUCAAAACCACUGGACUUGGAGGCCUUCUCCAUUUUGAGGUAGCAAGCCAAUUGACUUGUAGUUAGCAGGCUGAUUGCAUUGAAUUAUGAACCAUCAAUGCUCCUGCAUUUGGGCAGACCAACGACAAUCAUAUGAUUAUACUCCAUGAAGUGGAAGGCUGUUUUUCGAACUGCUGCAGCUCCAUUUAUACCACUUAUUGGAUUCUAACAAUCCUUACAAGACAUCCUGGAAGGCACUGCGUUAAAAUCUGUAAUCACUGAGGGAGCUUUUGGGGGGAGGCGUGGGAGGGCAGAGGGGUGCCAUGGCCCCCCUAGCUGGAUAAAAAAACAAAAUUUACUCAUAUUUUUAUGAAAAAAAUUAUAAAUAUAUAUAAAUACAUGUUAAAAUUUCCUUUCAUAUAUAUUGUCUUUAAUGUAUGACAUUUUUUAAUUUUGAGAAUGAUAAUGUAUGAAAAAUUAAGAGAGAGCGGCAGGCAAAUUUUCCUUGUA